GACGAACGCUGGCGGCGUGCCUAAUACAUGCAAGUCGAACGCAGUGGGGACGGGUGCGUAACACGUGGGUAACCUCCCAUCAGAGGGGAUAACACUUGGAAACAGGUGCUUACCCGCUACUGAUGGAUGUACCCGCGGUUCAUUAGCUAGUUGGUGGGGUAGAGGCUCACCAAGGCCACGAUGCAUCGCAGACCUGAGAGGGUGAUCGGCCACACGGGGACUGAGACACGGCCCAGAGUCCUACGGGAGGCAGAAGUAGGGAAUCUUCGGCAAUGGACGAAAGUCUGACCGAGCAACGCCGCGUGAGUGAAGAAGGUUUUCGGGUCGUAAAACUCUGUUGUUAGAGAAGCGGUAUCUAACCAGAAAGCCACGGCUAACUACGUGCCAGCCGCCGCGGUAAUUC
rnacentral:rRNA from 1 species